GGUGGGGAAAGUUCAACAAGAAAGCGGGGUCGCCCUCCAAUUGUUCUCACAGCAGAAGUCAUUGAACAAAGAAGAUUAUCAAGAAAGAGGAUUAAUGCAUCCAGAUCUAAAAGUGAGUAAAACUUAUGCCUCAGCUUUCAGAUUCAGUAUUGUCUCAUGUAUUUGAUGUGGGUUGUGCGUGCCGCUCUCAUGAAUUGAUGCCUGAAACCAGGGGAAGGCCCUUCAAAGAAAAGGGGUAGACCAAAGUCCAUUGUACAGGACAGACAAUCACACAGGACAGUUGGCUCAUCCCCAGACAGUGGUGAGCCCAUUAAACAAACAUGUUGGGUACAUUCAUCAUGUCAUACGAUGUUGUUCUCCUAAUGCCCUCUUCCCACAAUUUAUUUCGUAUAGUUCCCCCUGAAAGUCAAGCCUCUGAUGCAGAUGCAAAUGCAAACCCUGGAUGUGGAAGCAGUCCAUCAACAAGAUCAACACAAGGUAUACAUCUUUCGUGUAUAACUUAAUGUGCUUAUGUACUUACUCAUCUACUCAAAACAUAUGUAGAGUUUUAGAGCAAGUUGGAAUUGCCAAAAUCCAAAAAAAUAUUACAUACAUUCACCAUAACACCAGAUUAAAAUAUACCUACAGAGGUUGUCCGCAAUGGCAAAUGAAUUUGUGGCCUACAGCAUCCACGACCAUCCAUAAUACACGAAUAGCGGUAUGGGUCGUAUCAUAUAUUGCGUUAGGUCACUUUCUCUGCAUUUUUGCGUCGUCCUUCUAAGAAACAUGUAGGUAGUAGACAAACAUUUAACCGAGCAUCCUUUAAUGUUACUUCGUUAAUGUGUUUGACUUAGGUCACUAUCUCUGCAUUUGUAUGUCUUCCUUCUCUAAAACAUCUAGGGGGCAGAUAAACAUUUAACAGAGCAUACCUUUAUGAAAAUUCAUUAAUGUCUUUGACUUUGAUGUCUUUUAGAAACAAAGAGGAUGCGCACAUCCAUAGAUCGUAAAAAGAAGGAAUUUUGUAAGCAUUUA
rnacentral:lncRNA from 1 species